ensembl:snoRNA SNORD33 Small nucleolar RNA Z195/SNORD33/SNORD32 family
ACCGUCAGUGAUGUCUGAUUACCUACAUUGCUUGAGUUUAACUACUGUGAGAAAACCUCAUGCACUACCAUCUGAGACGGU